rnacentral:lncRNA from 1 species
GUUAUUCAAGCCUAGUUUGCCAAGAACAAAAUCGGCCCAAACAACUUUUCAAGACUAAGUCCUUAUCAAUUAACAUUUGCCUUCUACCCAAAUCAUGAACCAAAAGAAAUUAGUAUUAGGUGUAUAUUUUCACUCUCACACGUGCCCUUUCGUCCUCUUCUUAUUCUUUUCCAUUCUAAUGAAACUUUCCUCUUUUCAUCAAUACCUAAUAGAACUUGUCCCACCAAUUUUGGAUUAAAUAUUUUACCUCUCUCAUAAUCUAAUAUCUCAGAAUUAUCACUCUUAUCUGCAAUUGGAUUUGGUCAAUAGAAGAGUCCAAAGAACUUUUGGAUUUUUGAUUCUCUAUGACUGAGAUUUUCAGCGUUCAAACGGAUCUUUUUGAGUCAAGACACCAGCUCCUGAAGUCCUCCUAACGUUCAAAAUUUCAAAUAGUGGACUCGAUUUUGAAGUACCGCUCAAUCUUUCAUCCACAAAUUCUAGAAUUUUUCCGGGUAAUUUUAUCUUGUGUCUCACGCAACUUAUACUAGUAUUUUUUUGUUUCACAUAUUUAUGGUCUUACACAUUCGGGUCACAAAAUUCUGGGAUUCACAGAGGCUUCACACGGCACAAAAUAAAUUUUUUCACUUUUUCUUAUAAAUACUAGUGUUUUCUACAAGUAACAGGGGAUUCUUGAGCUGCUUCAUAUCCAUUUUUUAUACUUUGGCCGCCUCUACUUCCACCUAAAACAUAUAACACUUAGUAGUUCUUUCACUUUAAAGGGACGACUUUCGCAUCUAAGUUGUUGGAGUCCAAAUCUCCAGAUUCAUUGCCCCACAAUAGGUAAUAUCCCACGCCAUUUUCUCUUUCUAAUUAAACACACUGUAUUUGCCUAAAAGUUCAUGUCUUAGGUUCGCUUACUUUGUUAGUUGUUCUCACCUACUUGAAUGUUGUAUAGUAGAAGAAAACUUUCUGUUGAAGGUCUUUAUAACAGGGAGAAUGACUUUAGGAUGGUUAAAAUAUUAUUCUUUUUAUAUUCUAAAAUGCCUUGUUCGAAACAUUAUUGUAGUUUAAGAAUUCUACUCGCUUUGUAACUUCACACCGUAGCAUGAGUUUGUUCACUUCUGUUAAUUGAGAUGAAGUCUCGAUUCGCUAAAGCUAGCUGUCCAAUGUAGUUAUAUUUUUAAUUUAGAAAGAAUUCAUUUAAGUAUUAAGGCCUUAUGAAAUAGAACUUUAGUAUGGAAAUUUUCUAAAGAAAUACACUUAUAAACCAGUAGCUAAGAUAGGCUUAACGACCUAAAUUUCUCUUUGAUUUCUUACUAUUAUAUUGAAAACGAAUACAUACUACUUUCUCUUAGCAAUUUCAUGACACCAUGACUAUAGUUUCUUAUUUUCAUCUUCCGUGCUUGAGUCUAUAUGCUGGCUUUAAUUGUUCAAACUUAGCUAAUGAAGUAUUGUUAAUAGACUUCUCUAUAAGUAUAGUUUGUUCUAAAUCAUAGUUUGUUCUAAACAUAGAGUUACAUAUUUUCUAUCUCUUCAUAUGAAUUACUAGAUGACAGUUUAUUAGAGCUUUUUAUGUAUAUUACCACUAACUGUAUGUGUCCCCGUUGGAAUAUUGAGUUUGUUUAAAUAUAUAUGAUGUCCUAGUCUUAAUCUAUUGAUGUGAAUAGUGUGGCGUAAAUACAAUUGAAAUCAGAUAACAAUAUGACUUCUUUCACUUUAGCUAUUUCUUAUGAAUGUUCACAAUUUAGAUGUCUCUCCUCUAAUUAUUUUGUUUUCUUUCUUUCUUUGUUUUGCAUGAAUACCGGAGAUGAAGAGUCUGACUCAACAAUGCUGUAACACACAUGGAGACUACACAUCUCCGAGUCCCUUUUCAAGCUUUUACACUGUCUAGACAACAAAAUACAGAAGAAAAAUCUUCUGUAGAGCUGACAUGGCUCUUGACAAUUCCAUUUCUUUUGUUUUGUCUACAUGCUGAUGUAAUUAAUAUUCUAUGUGAUUGCUUGUAAAUAGCUAUACUUUAUAUAAUCAUUUAUAUCUUUGCUCUAACUAACAGUAGGAUACUUGGUUCCAUUAAUAUCUUUUGGCUUGGAAUCAAAAUCAGCUUUUAUAAAAAAACAUUUAAGUGCAAA